rnacentral:lncRNA from 10 species
UGCAAGACGUUUUGAAGAGACACAGGAAUCAGCAUUUUUGUACAUGAUCUUGGGUGUGUGUGUGUGUGUGUGUGUGUGUGUGUGUGUGUGUUAAACACUGGAGUCAUAAAACUUCAGAUUAAAAGAAAAACUGCAGAACAUAAAACAAAACCCACCUGCAGCUCAGGGCUGGCCUGCAGGCCGCCUGUGACUGGUGCAAUUUCCCACCUGUGCUGCCCGUGACCAUGGCCUGGAAGGAAGCAUCCAGAAGACUCCUCCUAGCACCACAGGACCCAGAGAGCAAGACAACAGAGCAGCAGGGUCACACCCUGGCUUGCAGGGCCAGCUUCUGGCAACUGCCACAGGCCUGCCACACUCAGCCAUGAAGAAAGAAGGGAUUUCUUUUCCCACACAGAAACACCCCAAGCAGGAACAGAAACAGAUCUUUUGUGCCCACCAAUAUGUGUCUGUCUUGCCCAGCCUGUCAUUGUCCAGGGCUGUGGGUAGUGGAGGAGCCACUGGUUCUUGACUAGUUCUGCAGAAGCCCUGGGUCAAAGGCCUCCGCUGACAGCAUCCAGAAGUGUGUGCUUCUCCAUCCUGGCCACACUCUCAAAUCACUGGCGGAAAGGGCAUGGGAGAACACAGUGAGAAGACAGCAGUCUGAGAGCCCGGAAGAGCGCCCUCACCAGAAACCAAAUGUGUCAGCACCUUGCUCAGGGACUUCCAGCCUCCGGAACUGUGAGGAAACAAAAUGUCUGUUUUGGAGCCGCCCAGGCUGUGGGGUUUUGGUAAGGCAGCCUGAGCAGACUAAUGCAACAGCCUCAACAAAACUGCAAUCGAUGAGAAAAAAACAGUGGGCUUGAAGAAAAAAAUGAAUUCCAGUCAAAAUCUCAACAGUUUCAUUUGGGAGCUUCACUCCUCAGCCAGUGAGACCAGGAACCUACCAGAAGAAAGAAACUCCAAACGCAUCUGAAGGUCGGAAGGAGCAAACUCUGGACACGCUGCUUUUAAGAACUGUAACACCAUGAGGGUCUGCGGCUUCAUUCUUGAAACCAGUGAGAUCAAGAACCCACCAAUUACAAACACAACACCUCAACAACACCUCAUGAGCAGGCAGAGAUGAGGCCACGGACGCGCACAGAGGGAGCAGCAUGCGAGGACCCGAGGAGGAGAAGACCACCUGCAGGCCAAGGAGAGGGGCCAUGGGGGAACCCACCCUGCCUACGCCCUGAUCCCCGACUUCCAGCCUCCAGAAUUGUGUGACAAUAAAUGUCUGUUGUCGAAGGCCCC